GGAAGCGUAUCGAAGUGGUCAUAACGAGCCGCACUCGAAAUGCGGUUGUCCUUUCCUGGGCACGUGGGUUCGAAUCCCACCGCUUCCG
rnacentral:tRNA from 1 species